CCCACUCGUGCAAUCUAGUACUUAGAGUAGCAAGUCUCUCCAUGAGACUCCCCGAACUAGUCUCCCAUAGUUUCUUUACAUCCUCUUCGCAUGAAUCCUCCAAGACCCACUUGGCCUCAAACCAAAGUCACUUCCUACCUCGCCUUUUAUCUUCUUAAUAUGCUUUUAUGAAGAAAGGACAAUGAUCCAAAAAGAAAUGUAGUAAAUAGCAGAUUGAAAAACUUGGAAAAUAGUAAUCCAAUCAAUGUUGGCAGCUCCUCUAUCAAGUCUUGCUCUGAUAUUUAUCUUUGGAAAAUUCCCCAUUUUUCAAGUAAACCAUGAUCUCAAAUAAUUGAUAUCCUUU
rnacentral:lncRNA from 1 species